rnacentral:rRNA from 1 species
AUGGAUAGGGCUCUUCUCGUGCCCGCUCUCCUGCUCGCGGCUCUGCUAGCUUGCAGCGGCGGCGUCCAUGGCGCCGGGUUCAACAGGCACAGCUUCCCCAAGGGGUUCAUCUUCGGCACCGGCUCCUCCGCCAUUCAGUAUGAGGGAGCUGUGAAUCUGCGGGGCAAGAACAUCUGGGACACCUUCGCUCGCACCCCAGGUGAAAUAGCCGACGGCAGCAACCCGGAUACGGCAAACGACUUCUAUCAUCGCUACAAGGACGAUCUGAAGCUGAUAACCGACAUGAACAUGGACACCUUCCGGUUCUCCCUUGCGUGGAGCAGGAUCCUUCCAAAUGGAACCAUAGCCGGAGGAAUCAACAAAGCAGGGGUCGAUUUCUACAACAGCCUCAUCGACAAGGUUUUGGCUAGAGGGCUGACGCCUUUCGUCACAAUCUUCCACUUCGACACCCCCCAGGUCCUCGAGGACAAAUACGGAGGCUUCUUGAGCCAAAACAUCGUAAAGGACUACGUGGAGUACGCGGAGCUGUGCUUCAAGCUGUUCGGCGACCGGGUGAAGUUCUGGACCACCUUCAACGAGCCCAUGAUCUUCUGCGCCUUCGGAUACGGCAGCGGCAGCACGGCCCCGGGGCGCUGCUCGCCGUACGUGUCCAAGGCCUGCGGCGCCGGGGACUCCUCCACGGAGCCCUACAUCGCCGGCCACAACCUCCUCAUCGCGCACGCCGAGGCCGUGCGCCUGUACCGCACCAGGUACCAGCCGGCGCAGCGGGGCCAGGUCGGCAUCGUGCAGGUGUCCCACUGGUUCAUCCCCUACGACGCCGCCUCCGACGCCGACCGGCACGCCGUGAAGCGCAGCCUGGACUUCAUGCUCGGUUGGUUCAUGCACCCGGUGGCGUUCGGGGAGUAUCCGGCGACGAUGCGCCGGCUGGUAGGCCUCCGGCUGCCGGAGUUUACCAAGGAGCAGUCCGACAUGCUCAAGGGGUCCUACGACUUCCUCGGCCUCAACUAUUACACGAGCAACUACGCGCAGGCCGCCGCGCGCGCGCCCGACCGGCGGCAGCCGUCGUACGGCACCGACCACCGGGUCAACCAGACCGGCUACCGCAACGGCAUCCCCAUCGGCCCACCGGCGUACACGCCCAUCUUCUUCAACUACCCGCCGGGGCUGCGCGAGCUGCUGCUUUACAUCCGGAGGAUCUACGGCAACCGCCCCAUCUACAUCACCGAAAACGGCACUGACGAGGCGAACAACAGCACAAUCCCGAUCAAAGAAGCGCUCAAGGACGACACCCGCAUCUCCUUCCACGUCAACCACCUCAAGUUGGUGCACAAAGCCAUCCAGGAGGGGGUGAACGUGAAGGGUUACAUCACAUGGACGUUCCUGGACGGCUUCGAGUUCGGUGACGGAUUCAAGGAUCGGUUCGGUCUCAUCUACGUCGACUAUGCCACGCUCGCCAGGUACCGCAAGAAGUCCAGCUACUGGUACCCNNNNNNNNNNNNNNNNNNNNNNNNNNNNNNCUACUGGAUCCAGGACUUCCUUCAGAGGCACUGA